AAAAGAGCACUCUUUUAAAUUUAUAAUUUUGUGGGCAAAUAUACUCACGCUAUUGCACAUCAUUUUACACGUGUACAAGAACAUAAGACCAUGGGCUUGGAAAAUUUAUGCACAUGUGUUAGUGCGCCCAAUACUGAUAUAUUUAUGUAAAUAAUCUUAAACUUGAAAAUAUAUCAUUUUAUAUUUUACUAUUUGUUUAAAUUUGCAUUUUGUUUACUGAAAACGGCUGGACUUCUGCCUCUACCGCACUGCGUUACGAUACGUUCUUUUUGUAAUUGGCUUUAUGAUAAUAAAUGAUUGGCAACGCCACAAGCUGCUACAAAACUGUGAAAAUAACAAUUUGGCUUAACAUGGGUUAUAUUUUUAACAAAGUCUAGUUAUAUAGAUUUCUUUUAUUAAAGUUGAGUACAGUGUUGUGGAAUUUGAAUGAAGUUCUACUAAGUUUUAGGCAAGUAUCCACAGUGAAGAUUUAUUUUAUUCGCAAAUUAAUACGGCCAGCAAAAAAAAUGCAUCUAGUGUGAAUGGUAAUCCCUGAAACAGAUGUCUACAAAAACCUGCGCUGACUUCAUUGGACUGGAUAAGUUGUAUUUCUAUAUUAUCGGAUCUUCGUGAAAUGACACAACCCCACUGCCGAAGAAUUCCUGAGUCCAGACAAAAAUUACCACAGCUUGUGAUGGGACACUUGUGUCUCAUUUUAAAACGUAAAAAACUAUGUGACAUAUUCUUUGAACUGUCAUGGGGAUUAUUUUGCAAAUCCGUUAAGUUCUCGUCGUCCUAAACUUUAGACCACCACCCUCGAUGCCAUUGUGUACAAAUACAAUAUGGAAGUCGCCAUUGUCGCAAUGCAAAGAAUAAAGAGAACGAACAAGCACGACGUUCGACAGCAAUCACGUACGCCACUAAAAACCAUCAUGGAUAACACAGGCCGCAGUCGCCGCCAAAGACAAACUCCCCCCAACUUCCUUUUCUACCACCACCUUCCGAACACAAGAGUUAACGAAUGCAUAAGGAAGGAAGAAGAAUAAAACGCAGUAAGGCUAACGCAGGAAAAGUGGGUGGUGGGAACUCAGCCAACCAACCAACCACCACUUGUAGAUAACGGCAAAAAAUCCGCCCUUAUUAACGCAAAAACAAACAAUCACACAUAUUUUAUAGCCAUCCACCCAUCCAUUCCGGGGGGUUGCGCUGGGUUAAAGAACUCUUAUCGUCACUCACUACAACGACAACGACUACUACUCCAUCUCACACCCCCCAUUCCAAACCAUCAUCCUUAACGGUUAUUUCAUCCCUUCUUCUAGCAGUUUGGGGAAAAAUAAAAUCUGCCUGGUCCCAUUCAGCUCCCCCAAAGGAGGAAUUAAAGCAACAAUAUGUUUUAAGCGGCCCAGACGUCAGCCACCGCCGCCGAACUGUUGAAUGCAGCAUUUGGAAACUUCAAAAGAAUAAUAAUAAUAAAACACAACAAAACCCAUGGAAAACUUUUGUAUAUUGAAAAACGAGAGAUUAGUGAGUCGUAGGAGAAGCAACAAGGACAAGCAAUUUUACACCAUAGCAGCAUGCAACACCUUGGAACCCAAAAACGGGCAACUACGCAAACGCAAUAAUAAGCUCUACGAAGAGUAAAAUUUCCACUCUUUACUGGGAUAUUUGAUACGGCACUCUUUUUAGCCUAGAAAAGCUAUUUACCUCAAAGCUACAGGUUGCAAAUGCAGACCUCAAAUCAACUCCCACCAAAUGGUGUUGGGGAGAGAAAAAAUGUUUCAUUUUCACAGAGAGCGCAACGGCAAUUAUGGUAUUUCCAAUGGCAUCAGCCGAAAGGAGAACCAACGGUUUAGCAUUUUAAUAGACUGAACCUGAAGAAGGAAGAAAUUGGCUUAAAAGCCAAAUACAUUAAAAAUGCUGUUGCUUUUACGCAUAUUUAUGUAGGCAACAAAAGUGUACAGACAGUGUAUGUAUGUAUGUAUGUGUGUUUGAGGAAAAUAGAGGAGAUAAUACCCAAGUACAUAAGGUACAUCCGCAUAUAAACAAACCACCACAUCCUGCAAAGGGACCAUUUUCAAAGGAUGUAUUAAAAAGUCCUACAGUUGAUGUGUAGCAGCAGCAGUGGCAAUAACCAAAAACAAGUCACACACUUGGAUUGUUUUAUUAUGAAUAAAUAAAAAGCUCUUCCUGCUAAAUGCUUUGUACUUUAACGUUGGCAGCACUGACACACAUCCGAAAUAAUCAAAUAUCAAUAAAGCCAACAAAUUAAAUCAUUUUACAAUUAAAUUAAUUUUUCGCGGAGUUCAUAAAUAAAAUUUUUAUUAAAAUCCAAAGCAAUUUUGCCAUUCCAGAACGUUAAAUCAUUGAAUAAAUCAAAUUGAAUGAUAAUACCACAUGUUUUAAUAAACGGCAAUAAGAUUAGCCUAACUAAUCGGAGAUAGCAUUUUUCCCCAUACAAACUAAGAGAGAAAAUCCGCUUAAUGGGUAAAAUAAACAGCUCUGCCAUAAGACUAAAUAGCAGGCUCAAGGUGUUAUGCACGUGCUGUUUUAAAACAACUACAAAUGAUUGCUGUAUUUUAGGCGCUUAUUUGUAAUAUUUGACUAAAAAAUUAACGGGUAACAAACCAACAUUAUCGCCGCUAAACAGAUAUUGUAGAAAUAUACCAAAAUAUAUACGAUGUAAAAAUUCAAAAAAGGAUUUAUAUAUUUUACACUUUUGUAGAAAUAUACCAAAAUAUAUACGAUGUAAAAAUUCAAAAGAGGA